UACGGAGGGUGCAAGCGUUAUCCGGAUUCACUGGGUUUAAAGGGUGCGUAGGAGGGCAGGUAAGUCAGUGGUGAAAUCUCCGAGCUUAGCUUGGAAACUGCCGUUGAUACUAUCUGUCUUGAAUAUUGUGGAGGUGAGCGGAAUAUGUCAUGUAGCGGUGAAAUGCUUAGAUAUGACAUAGAACACCAAUUGCGAAGGCAGCUCGCUACACAUAUAUUGACUCUGAGGCACGAAAGCGUGGGGAUCAAACAGG
rnacentral:rRNA from 1 species